rnacentral:rRNA from 1 species
CAGUCGCCGCGGGAAUACGGAGGGUGCAAGCGUUAAUCGGAAUUACUGGGCGUAAAGCGCACGCAGGCGGUCUGUCAAGUCAGAUGUGAAAUCCCCGGGCUUAACCUGGGAACUGCAUUUGAAACUGGCAGGCUAGAGUCUUGUAGAGGGGGGUAGAAUUCUAGGUGUAGCGGUGAAAUGCGUAGAGAUCUGGAGGAAUACCGGUGGCGAAGGCGGCCCCCUGGACAAAGACUGACGCUCAGGUGCGAAAGCGUGGGGAGCAAACAGGAUUAGAGACCCCUGUAGUCCCUGUCUCUUAUAC